UACGGAGGGUGCAAGCGUUGCUCGGAAUCACUGGGCGUAAAGCGACCGCAGGCGGUCUGACAAGUCGGAUGUGAAAGCCCUGGGCUCAACUCAGGAAUUGCAUUCGAAACUGGCAGACUUGAGUACGGGAGAGGGGGGUGGAAUUCCUGGUGUAGGGGUGAAAUUCGUUGAUAUCAGGAGGAACACCGGCGGCGAAGGCGGCCCCCUGGCCCGCAACUGACGCUCAUGGUCGAAAGCGUGGGGAGCAAACAGG
rnacentral:rRNA from 1 species